CAGUAGCCGCGGUAAUACGUAGGGUGCAAGCGUUAAUCGGAAUUACUGGGCGUAAAGCGUGCGCAGGCAGUUAUAUAAGACAGAUGUGAAAUCCCCGGGUUCAACCUGGGACCUGCAUUUGUGACUGUAUAGCUAGAGUACGGUAGAGGGGGAUGGAAUUCCGCGUGUAGCAGUGGAAUGCGUAGAUAUGCGGAGGAACACCGAUGGCGAAGGCAAUCCCCUGGACCUGUACUGACGCUCACGCACGAAAGCGUGGGGAGCAAACAGGAUUAGAUACCCCCGUAGUCCCUGUCUCUUAUAC
rnacentral:rRNA from 1 species